rnacentral:rRNA from 1 species
UACGGAGGGAGCUAGCGUUGUUCGGAAUUACUGGGCGUAAAGCGCACGUAGGCGGCUUUGUAAGUUAGAGGUGAAAGCCCGGAGCUCAACUCCGGAACUGCCUUUUAGACUGCAUCGCUUGAAUCCAGGAGAGGUGAGUGGAAUUCCGAGUGUAGAGGUGAAAUUCGUAGAUAUUAGGAGGAAUACCGGUGGCGAAGGCGGCCUUCUGGACCAUUUCUGACACUGAGACGCGAAAGCGUGGGGAGCAAACAGG